rnacentral:rRNA from 1 species
GAGGAAAAGAAACCAACAGGGAUUGCCCUAGUAACGGCGAGUGAACAGGCAAGAGCUCAGAUUUGAAAGGCACUUUUGUGCCGUUGUAUUCUGAAGUUAGGGUCCUGAGAAACGAUGCUUAAGUCUUCUGGAAAGGAGCGCCAUGGAGGGUGAUAGCCCCGUCUAGCAUUGACCUCAUAUAGGAUCUUAACAUGGAGUCGAGUUGUUUGGGAAUGCAGCUCAAAUGGGUGGUAUGCUCCAUCUAAAGCUAAAUAUCUGCGAGAGACCGAUAGUAAACAAGUACUGUGAGGGAAAGAUGAAAAGAACUUUGAAAAGAGAGUGAAAAAGUACGUGAAAUUGUUGAAAUGGAAGGGUAGGCCGCUAACCAUGUAGAGCCGUGUUUGGGGGGAAGAUAAAUGCUGUAGAAUGUAGCUCCUCGGAGUAUUAUAGAUGCAGUUCAUAUUCCCACCCGAGCGCGAGGAUCUCAGGUUCUACUAAAUGGUGGUCUACCACCCG